GCGCGAGCGAAGAAGAGAUCCCUGCCCAGCUGUGGAAGAAGCCCCGAGAGCUGCAGGGGAGGAGCUAAAGGGCCGGAGCUGUCGAACCCUUGGCUAAGGAGGGCCUGCGGGGUGGAGUGUGAGCUACGAUGAGAAGAGAGCUUAGAGAUCUAACCCUGGGUGAAGCUGAUAUUGUACCCUGCUAUUCCAGAGAACAAUAACCAGGAUCACAUAGAUAAGAAAUGUUUAAACCGUGGUUCUUAAUCUCUCUACAACCUUUUGGAAAAUCUCAUAGAAAUCUUAGGUCCUUUCCUUUAAAAAUGUGUGUAAAAGAUUUACAUUUAAAAAUUCUCCACGCUUUCAAAGUGUUAAGAAAGACAUUUUGAAAAUCAUCCAUAAAUCGUACCUUUGAAAGGAUUUGGGGACAGGAGAAAGGAACUCAGAGGAAAACAUGUCAGCCAUCUUCAAAUGUCUAAAGGACUGAUUUGAACAAAACGUGAUACGGUUUGUGUGGUUCUAAACGCCUGAACUAAGAUCAAGACUGCUCCAGAUUGGUUUCUGAUCGCUCUUAAAAUACUUUUCAAACCUCUUGUCAUUGCCUACAAAGCCUACAUGUGGCUCCUAUUUACAUUCUAAACCUUUUGUCACCAUUUUCAACCUUGACUCAUCACUUUCCAGUCACACUGGUCUUUUAUUCCUAGAAAACACCACCAGCCUCUUCCCUGAGUCAAGGGCUUUGCUCUUCCCUCAGCCUAGAACUCACUCUUCUAGCGGUUCUCUUUGCCAGUUACAAACGUCACCAUCUGCAAGAGGCCUUCUCUGAUCACACUAAGUAGUUCCCACCUAUAUAUCUACCAUAAACCUUGUUUAUUGCCUUGCUACCAUAAAUCGUGGCCUGUUUUUAGUUGUUGGUCUUCCUUCCCCCAUCAGAAUGUAAACUCCAAGAGCUCAGCAAUCUCAUGUUUGUUUUAGUUCAUAAUUUAAUCCCCCGGGACCUGCAAGUACUUGGCACACAGUAGGAGCUCAGUAAGAAUUUUUUAAGUUAUGAAAAGUUGGAAUAAACUUCCAGAAAGGCUACCUGAUCAUAGUUAUGCCAGGAAACGGGCAAUCUUCAGAGAGUGCAAGUAAAAACUGCUUUCACUCACUCGGGACGUCAGGGAGCGUUAAUUUGUUGGGCUUGAUGACCUGCAAGGACGCCUUCAACUUCAGUCUCUGAUUUGACUGCAGAGGUAAACAUGCCCUAGAUACAUGGCAGCCGGGCUGG